AUAUCUGUCUAGGAGCUGAUCCUUCAUCAGUUUUGUAGAAUAAUUCUCAUGUUAAGGCAGCAAUCAGCAGUAGAAACAAUAAGAAAGCCGUCACCCCACCCCUGAUUCAACGGAGGUAUGUGGCUGGAGAAAUGUAACCUUGCUAUGGAUGCAAGUUAUCCAUGAUAACAAAAUGAUAGUUUUAACCAUAUUUUGAGUCUAUAUAGUGUUUGUUUACAUAUGUUGGGUUCUGAUAGGGUACGACAGCUACCACAUCUAUAAGUUAUAUUCUUCAAGAAUCAAUGGGUGCAUAUCAUUAAUUUAUAAGUCCAAAAAUGGUUGUAGCAACUGCUGAUUGCCACUAAGGUUAGAUGGAGAAUGGUAAUCUGAGAGCAGUGCUUCCUUUCUUUUGAUCCUAUCGGAAUGGACACACAACUCAAUGACCCACUUAGCGAACAUUCUCUCUGCAUGGUGUUUUGGAAAAUGCAUGUUACAUCUUCGGCUGUUGUAGGAAAGAUGCAUUGUUAAAACAGUGGUAAGUCUAAAUUCCAUCGCUAUCGGGAAACCGGCCCUGGCGACCUUCGGUCUUCUUCGGCAAUGCCACACCGUUAACAACUAGCUACAGGCUUGCUAGUUAGCUUUACAUUCCUCCUCCUAGUAGCCAAUAAUAGUUUUUCCUGUCAGCAAACACGUCUAGGUCCUAAAGGUUAUGACGUUAGUUAACUAGCCAGUUUUGUAGCCAGCUAGCUAGCUAUUUAUGAUCAUACAUUGCUUUGACAUAGCUAGUUAACUUCAUCCACCAGAGAGACAUUCAGGUCUUAGCUACGAUUCCUAGCUAGUUGUCUGUUAGUUGUAAACAGCCGGGUUGACUUCCUAUUUUUUAAGUACUUGAAGAGGUGAAUAAAUAGCUAAUUAACAUUGGUAUUAGAAAGUUAUAUUUGUUUCUAGCAGUCUAGAUCUGAUAUGAAGUUUUUUGUAAUAGUUUUCUAGAUCAAGGAUAUCGAUAUCCACCUUUUAUCUAUCAACACAUUUGAAAAUACAGUACAACCCCCUAUCAAAGUUCGAGCCAGCUAUGAGAAGGUUCUGGAGGAGGUGACCCACUACACCCCUGGCUAUAUGGAGGAGAUGGAGUCUAUCUUUGACCAACCACAGGAGAAGGAGAGGAAUAGGAUGACCAACAAUGAGAGGUGAUUCUCUAGAGGACUCUAUUCCUCGGAAUGCAAUUAGUUUAAUCAGGUGUGUUAGCUGGGGUAGUGGAAAAAGUGUGACACCAGUCAGGCCGCCGAGAGCUGGAGUACCACGUUGAGGAUGACCAGAUCGAUAUGGAACCUACAGACUCGACACAAGAUCCAGCUUGAUCUGAUACAGGGCUCUCCUGGAGUGUAACUGUCUCGUAGGUUUUGUCCAACCCUUAUCCAGUGUACCUGAUUCUAAUAACUAACUGGUUGAUAAGCUAUAGGAGUGUAACUCUCCAGCAGAUCUGAACCUCCACCUAGUCCCCACACCCUCUUCUCUUGUAAUCUCAACCCCUCUACUAUAGCUGUCUGUGGGGAUUGGACUGAGAGGGAUGUAAAGACAGCUUGCAGCUGCCACAUUUACAAUGUGACUCAUUCACCAUUACGUCAUCAUUUAAAAUAAAGUGAAUCAUAUUUG